GCGGGCGUGGCGAAAUUGGCAGACGCGCUGGGUUUAGGUCCCAGUCCUACGGGGUGGAGGUUCGAGUCCUCUCGCCCGCA
rnacentral:tRNA from 1 species